UACAGAGGUCCCAAGCGUUGUUCGGAUUCACUGGGCGUAAAGGGUGCGUAGGUGGUCGGGUAAGUCUGAUGUGAAAUCUCCGAGCUUAACUCGGAAAUGGCAUUGGAUACUAUUCGGCUGGAGGUUUGGAGGGGGGGACUGGAAUUCUCGGUGUAGCAGUGAAAUGCGUAGAUAUCGAGAGGAACACCAGUGGCGAAGGCGAGUCCCUGGACCAUUACUGACACUGAAUAGCGAAAGCCAGGGGAGCAAACGGG
rnacentral:rRNA from 1 species